rnacentral:rRNA from 1 species
ACAACCUACGGGACGCAGCAGUGAGGAAUAUUGGUCAAUGGCCGAGAGGCUGAACCAGCCAAGUCGCGUGAGGGAAGACGGCCCUACGGGUUGUAAACCUCUUUUGUCGGGGAGCAAAGCGAGUCACGUGUGACUCAUUGAGAGUAUCCGAAGAAAAAGCAUCGGCUAACUCCGUGCCAGCAGCCGCGGUAAUACGGAGGAUGCGAGCGUUAUCCGGAUUGAUUGGGUUUAAAGGGUGCGCAGGCGGAAGAGCAAGU